rnacentral:rRNA from 1 species
UUGGGAUUCCUUUAGUAGCGGCGAGCGAAACGGGAUCAGCCCAUCACGUAGGAUCGUAGGCUUAGUUGUCUACUGAUCGGUUCCGUGUAAAGGAGGGUCCAUCUUUCUUGCACAUAUAACCAUCAUAUUUAAGUCCAGCUUGAAUGCGGCUCAAUAUACCCAGAGAGGGUGCCAGGCCCGUUUAUGUAUGAUGCUUGUGUAAGUGGGCUACAAACUCCUAGGAGUCAUGUUGCUUGAUAGUGCAGCAUAAAGUGGGAGGUAAACUCCUUCUAAGGCUAAAUAUUACCAUGAGACCGAUAGCGAACAAGUACCGUGAGGGAAAGUUGAAAAGCACUCUGAAUAGAGAGUCAAAUAGUACGUGAAACUGUCUAGGGGCUCAAACCUAAAGAACCCAAAUAUCUAAACGGAGAGAUUCAAUACUGAACUUAACACUCAGUGUGCACUUCUCUCUUAGUAAGACGCCGUGAUCCAUUAGAAAUUGGUAGACGCCAGUCUAUAUGAGGUCAUCAAUGGGCUUGCAUGAAGUUUAUUGGAACGAAUGGCAUGAUCUUUCAACGGUCGUGUGUAUUGUCUGGUAAGCGUGCGAGUACUCGUAAUGACUGUCUGAUGGAUUUUAAAGAUUGUAUCAUUGAUGUUACGGCAUCACUUACUUCGGUGAGAUUU